GGAAUAUUGGACAAUGGGCGCAAGCCUGAUCCAGCCAUGCCGCGUUUGUGAAGAAGGCCUUCGGGCUGUAAAGCACUUUUGUUGGGGAAGAAACCGACCGGAUUAAUACUUCGGUUGAAUGACGGUACCCAACGAAUAAGCACCGGCUACCUUCGUGCCAGCAGCCGCGGUAAUACGAAGGGUCCAAGCGUUACACGGAAUUACUGGGCGGAAAGCGUGCGUAGGCGGUUAGUUAAGUCUGCUGUGAAAGCCCUGGGCUCAACCUGGGAACUGCAGUGGACACUGGCUAGCUAGAGUGUGUCAGAGGAUGGUGGAAUUCCCGGUGUAGCGGUGAAAUGCGUAGAGAUCGGGAGGAACACCAGUGGCGAAGGCGGCCAUCUGGGACAACACUGACGCUGAGGCACGAAAGCGUGGGGAGCAAAC
rnacentral:rRNA from 1 species